rnacentral:rRNA from 1 species
CAAUAGCGUAUAUUAAAGUUGUUGCGGUUAAAAAGCUCGUAGUUGGAUUUCUGCUGAGAACGACCGGUCCGCCCUUUGGGUGUGUAUCUGGCUCUUUCUUGGCAUCUUCUUGGUGAACGUUGCUGCACUUGACUGUGUGGAGCGCUACCCAGGACUUUUACUUUGAGGAAAUUAGAGUGUUUCAAGCAGGCAUACGCCUUGAAUACAUUAGCAUGGAAUAAUAAGAUAGGACCUCGGUUCUAUUUUGUUGGUUUCUAGAGCUGAGGUAAUGAUUAAUAGGGAUAGUUGGGGGCAUUCGUAUUUAACUGUCAGAGGUGAAAUUCUUGGAUUUGUUAAAGACGAACUACUGCGAAAGCAUUUGCCAAGGAUGUUUNCAUUGA